rnacentral:lncRNA from 1 species
CUACACCUAAUACCCUAAAGCCAACUGAUUUGUGAGUCAUUGGCCUAAAGCUCACUACAGGAGUCAAUUAAAAAGUUUAAAGGACUAAGACAUUUCAUUAAACUCUUUUUUUUAAAAAAAUAAUAAAAAAAAAAUAAAAAAAUAGUGGAUAAUAAAGGGACUAAAUUGUAAGAAGAUAAUUGUUGGUGCAGAAUUUCGUCGAUGCUAGAGAAGAUGGAGUCGAGGGGAUCACGGCCGCCAUCGGGACCUGCAAGGAAAGUCUAAACCGGAGUUGGGGGUGCUCCGGCAAGAUCCUCCGAUGCUCAAGUCAGUACUUUGCUUCAACAGAAAUGGAGCACUCGAAUGAAAUUUUAGCAGAGUUUAGAGAUAAU